rnacentral:rRNA from 1 species
UACGGAGGGUGCAAGCGUUGUCCGGAUUUAUUGGGUUUAAAGGGUGCGUAGGCGGCCCGGUAAGUCAGUGGUGAAAGCCUCCAGCUCAACUGGAGAACUGCCAUUGAUACUGCCGGGCUUGAGUACAGACGAGGUUGGCGGAAUUGAUUGUGUAGCGGUGAAACGCAUAGAUACAAUCAAGAACUCCGAUUGCGUAGGCAGCUAACUAGGCUGUAACUGACGCUGAGGCACGAAAGCGUGGGGAGCGAACAGG